CCGAGUUACAAACUCCCAAAACCCCUGUGAACAUACCUAUCGUUGCUUCGGCGGAUCCGCCCCGGCGCCCUCGGGGCCCGGAUCAGGCGCCCGCCGGAGACCCCAAACUCUUGUAUUUCUUUAGUAUCUUCUGAGUAAACAAGCAAAUAAUUA
rnacentral:misc_RNA from 1 species